rnacentral:rRNA from 1 species
AGAAUCAACGCUGGCGGCGUGCCUAACACAUGCAAGUCGAACGAGAAAGUGGAGCAAUCCAUGAGUAAAGUGGCGCACGGGUGAGUAACACGUGACUAACCUACCUUUUAGUGGGGGAUAACCUAGGGAAACCUGGGCUAAUACCGCAUAAUACCCACGGGUCAAAGGAGCAAUUCGCUCGAGGAGGGGGUCGCGGCCGAUUAGUUAGUUGGCGGGGUAAUGGCCCACCAAGACGAUGAUCGGUAU